rnacentral:rRNA from 1 species
UACGGGGGGGGCAAGCGUUGUUCGGAAUUACUGGGCGUAAAGGGCUCGUAGGCGGCCAACUAAGUCAGACGUGAAAUCCCCAGGCUCAACCUGGGAACUGCGUCUGAUACUGGAUGGCUUGAGGUUGGGAGAGGGAUGCGGAAUUCCAGGUGUAGCGGUGAAAUGCGCAGAUAUCAGGAGGAACACCGGUGGCGAAGGCGGGUCUCUGGACAGUUCCUGACACUGAGACACGAAGGCCAGGGGAGCAAACGGG